rnacentral:rRNA from 1 species
UGGGGAAUAUUGCGCAAUGGGCGAAAGCCUGACGCAGCAACGCCGCGUGAGUGAUGAAGGCCUUCGGGUCGUAAAGCUCUGUCGGAGGGAACGAAUGCUCUUGAGGUUAAUAGCCUCGGGAGGUGACGGUACCCUCAAAGGAAGCACCGGCUAACUCUGUGCCAGCAGCCGCGGUAAUACAGAGGUGGCAAGCGUUGUUCGGAAUUACUGGGCGUAAAGCGCGUGUAGGCGGCUCUUCAAGUCAGGCGUGAAAGCCCCAGGCUCAACCUGGGAAAUGCGUUUGAUACUGUCGAGCUAGAGUGUGGAAGGGGCGAUUGGAAUUCCGUGUGUAGCGGUGAAAUGCGUAGAUAUACGGAGGAACACCAGAGGCGAAGGCGGAUCGCUGGGCCAACACUGACGCUGAGACGCGAAAGCUAGGGUAGCAAACGGGAUUAGAUACCCGUGUAGUCCCUGAGCGGGCUGGCAAGGCGCAU